rnacentral:rRNA from 1 species
AUUGAACGCUGGCGGCAUGCCUUACACAUGCAAGUCGAACGGCAGCACGGGAGCAAUCCUGGUGGCGAGUGGCGAACGGGUGAGUAAUAUAUCGGAACGUGCCCAGUCGUGGGGGAUAACGUAGCGAAAGCUACGCUAAUACCGCAUACGAUCUAUGGAUGAAAGCGGGGGAUCGCAAGACCUCGCGCGAUUGGAGCGGCCGAUAUCAGAUUAGGUAGUUGGUGAGGUAAAGGCUCACCAAGCCGACGAUCUGUAGCUGGUCUGAGAGGACGACCAGCCACACUGGGACUGAGAAACGGCCCAGGCUCCUACGGGAGGCAGCAGUGGGGAAUUUUGGACAAUGGGCGCAAGCCUGAUCCAGCAAUGCCGCGUGCAGGAUGAAGGCCUUCGGGUUGUAAACUGCUCUUGUACGGAACGAAACGGCGAGCUCUAAUACAGCUUGCUAAUGACGGUACCGUAAGAAUAAGCACCGGCUAACUACGUGCCAGCAGCCGCCGCAGUAA